rnacentral:sRNA from 1 species
AAGAAAGUAAGUGCCGCCCCGCACAGGGGCGACGCUAAUAAUCCAAUAUCAAUAGCAAAGGCCAACGCCGUAGGCACACAACCCAACACAACCCAAAAGCGCUGC